rnacentral:rRNA from 1 species
AUGAGGAGGCGGUUCGUGAACCUGGUGACGCGGAACUGGACGGAAGGCGUCUACUCGGUGCGCCGGAUCGAUCCUUAUCGCCAUUUCUUCUACGGCUCAGCAGAAGCAGCGCUCGGAGCAGCGGCCGAGAAGACGGAGCCUUUUCCGGCGAUGCAGAUCAAGGACCUGCCGAGCCCAUGCAUGAACAUCGUCGCAGCGAGCCCCGGCGGCACCCUGGACAUGUUCGCGCUCCUCACCCCCGGCGACGGCAGAAUCGUCUACGCCAACACCAUCGGCCGGGCCGCUCUGUACGACGCCGACAGGCAUGUCCUCCACCCCGACCUCCACCGCCUCCGCACGCCCAAGGGGGUCAGGCCCGUCUGCCUCUCCAUCGCGCACCCCGGCGCCGACGACGACAGCAUGUAUGUCCUGGACGCGUGCCCCGAGGAGGGCGCCGAGCGAUGCUUCGAGGUCCUCGAGCCCGCGCCCGCCGUGUUCAGGAGCAGCAGCUUGAUGCCGCCAUGGUGCUCGCGCCUUCUCCCGCCGCCUCCCUUUGUCCGCCGCCCGGAAAGCUCCAGCAGCCUAGUCACCUCCUUUACCACCACCGUCGACGGCCACGGCUGCUCCACCAUCUACAUAUCAUGCGCUGGCGCCGGCGGCGUCGAUGUCGGCACCUACAGCUUCGAGACGGCGCGCCCCGACUCUCGUCACCAUCUAGGAUGGAUCCUCUCGGACAAAUGGAGUCACGUCGGGGAAUGGAUGCUGCCCUUUCAUGGCAGAGCUCUGUACGUCCCUGAGUUCAACCUGUGGUUUGGCUUCUCAGCAUUGGGCCCCUACCACCACCUGUGCGCUACGGAUCUCUCUGCCAUGGACGAUGGGCGGCAGCCCGCCGCGCCCGCAGUAUGGGAAGAUCUGAACCCGCCUGCCGAGGGAGAGCCGUGGCUUCCAAAGGAGCUCGAGCUUAUCCACCUGGGCGGCGGCAAGUUUCUCAUCGCCAAGACCUUUUCAGAAGGAGAAAGAGGUGAUGACUUUUGUGUGCUCACCGGCUUAGAGAUGAUGGCUACCGCCGGUGAUGACCGGCAGCAGACCCUUCAGAUGAUCAAGCACAAGUGCGCACGUAUUGUCUUCACGGACGAGGACAUCCAGUGAGUGCUCUGA